GACGAACGCUGGCGGCGUGCUUAACACAUGCCAGUCGAACGGAAAGGCCCUGCUUUUGUGGUGUGCUCGAGUGGCGAACGGGUGAGUAACACGUGAGUAACCUGCCCUUGACUUUGGGAUAACUUCAGGAAACUGGGGCUAAUACCGGAUAGGAGCUCCUGCUGCAUGGUGGGGGUUGGAAAGUUUCGGCGGUUGGGGAUGGACUCGCGGCUUAUCAGCUUGUUGGUGGGGUAGUGGCUUACCAAGGCUUUGACGGGUAGCCGGCCUGAGAGGGUGACCGGCCACAUUGGGACUGAGAUACGGCCCAGACUCCUACGGGAGGCAGCAGUGGGGAAUAUUGCAAAAUGGGCGGAAGCCUGAUGCAGCAACGCCGCGUGCGGGAUGACGGCCUUCGGGUUGUAAACCGCUUUCGCCUGUGACGAAGCGUGAGUGACGGUAAUGGGUAAAGAAGCACCGGCUAACUACGUG
rnacentral:rRNA from 1 species